rnacentral:rRNA from 1 species
ACGGAGGGGGCUAGCGUUGUUCGGAAUUACUGGGCGUAAAGGGCGCGUAGGCGGAUUAGUAAGUUGGGAGUGAAAGCCCGGGGCUUAACCUCGGAACUGCUUUCAAAACUGCUAGUCUUGAGUGAAGUAGGGGAUGAUGGAAUUCCUAGUGUAGAGGUGAAAUUCUUAGAUAUUAGGAGGAACACCGGUGGCGAAGGCGGUCAUCUGGACUUCAACUGACGCUGAGGCGCGAAAGCGUGGGGAGCAAACAGGAUUAGAUACCCUGGUAGUCCACGCCGUAAACGAUGAGUGCUAGAUAUCGGGAGUUUUUCUUUCGGUUUCGUAGUUAACACGUUAAGCACUCCGCCUGGGGAGUACGAUCGCAAGAUUA